rnacentral:rRNA from 1 species
AUUGAACGCUGGCGGCAUGCCUAACACAUGCAAGUCGAACGGCAGCACAGUAAAGACUCUGGUCUUUAUGGGUGGCGAGUGGCGGACGGGUGAGUAACGCGUAGGCACCUGUGCUGGAGGGUGGGAUAACCCGUGGAAACUCGGGCUAAUACCCCAUGCUAUCGAGAGAUCAAAAGCAGGGGCACCUUCGGGGCCUUGCGCUCUAGGAUGAGCCUACGUCGGAUUAGCUAGUUGGUGGGGGAAAGGCCUACCAAGGCGACGAUCCGUAGCUAGUCUGAGAGGAAGACCAGCCACGCUGGGACUGAGACACGGCCCAGACUCCUACGGGAGGCAGCAGUGGAGAAUCUCAGACAAUGGGGGAAACCCUGAUCCAGCGAUGCCGCGUGUGUGAAGAAGGCCUUCGGGUUGUAAAGCACUUUAGUUGGGGAAGAAAAGUAAUAAUUAAAUAAUGUAUUGCUCUGACGGUACCCAAAGAAUAAGCACCGGCUAACUCUGUGCCAGCCGCCGCAGUAA